rnacentral:rRNA from 1 species
AGAGUUUGAUCCUGGCUCAGGAUGAACGCUGGCGGCGUGCUUAACACAUGCAAGUCGAACGAACCUUCGGGUUAGUGGCGGACGGGUGAGUAACGCGUGGGAAUCUGCCCUCAGGAGGGGGAUAACGGUUGGAAACGACCGCUAAUACCCCAUAUGCCGAAAGGUGAAAUGAAUUUCGCCUGAGGAUGAGCCCGCGUCUGAUUAGCUAGUUGGUAAGGUAAUGGCUUACCAAGGCUUCGAUCAGUAGCUGGUCUGAGAGGAUGAUCAGCCACACUGGGACUGAGACACGGCCCAGACUCCUACGGGAGGCAGCAGUGGGGAAUUUUCCGCAAUGGGCGAAAGCCUGACGGAGCAACGCCGCGUGAGGGACGAAGGCCUCUGGGCUGUAAACCUCUUUUCUCAAGGAAGAAGAUAUGACGGUACUUGAGGAAUAAGCCACGGCUAAUUCCGUGCCAGCAGCCGCGGUAAUACGGGAGUGGCAAGCGUUAUCCGGAAUUAUUGGGCGUAAAGCGUCCGCAGGCGGCCUUUCAAGUCUGCUGUUAAAGCGUGGAGCUUAACUCCAUUAUGGCAGUGGAAACUGAUAGGCUUGAGUAUGGUAGGGGCAGAGGGAAUUCCCGGUGUAGCGGUGAAAUGCGUAGAUAUCGGGAAGAACACCAGUGGCGAAGGCGCUCUGCUGGGCCAUUACUGACGCUCAUGGACGAAAGCCAGGGGAGCGAAAGGGAUUAGAUACCCCUGUAGUCCUGGCCGUAAACGAUGAACACUAGGUGUCGGGGGAAUCGACCCCUUCGGUGUCGUAGCUAACGCGUUAAGUGUUCCGCCUGGGGAGUACGCACGCAAGUGUGAAACUCAAAGGAAUUGACGGGGGCCCGCACAAGCGGUGGAGUAUGUGGUUUAAUUCGAUGCAACGCGAAGAACCUUACCAGGGUUUGACAUCCUGCGAACCUCUUAGAAAUUUGAGGGUGCCUUCGGGAAUGCAGUGACAGGUGGUGCAUGGCUGUCGUCAGCUCGUGUCGUGAGAUGUUGGGUUAAGUCCCGCAACGAGCGCAACCCACGUUUUUAGUUGCCAGCAUUUAGUUGGGCACUCUAGAAAGACCGCCGGUGAUAAACCGGAGGAAGGUGUGGAUGACGUCAAGUCAUCAUGCCCCUUACACCCUGGGCUACACACGUACUACAAUGCUACGGACAAAGGGCAGCAAACUCGCGAGAGCUAGCAAAUCCCAUAAACCGUGGCUCAGUUCAGAUCGUAGGCUGCAACUCGCCUACGUGAAGUAGGAAUCGCUAGUAAUCGCAGGUCAGCAUACUGCGGUGAAUACGUUCCCGGGCCUUGUACACACCGCCCGUCACACCAUGGAAGUUGGCCAUGCCCGAAGUCGUUACUCCAACCCUUGUGGAGGAGGACGCCGAAGGUGGGGCUAAUGACUGGGGUGAAGUCGUAACAAGGUAGCCGUACCGGAAGGUGCGGCUG